ACGAACGCUGGCGGCGUGCCUAAUACAUGCAAGUAGAACGCUGAAGGAGGAGCUUGCUUCUCCGGAUGAGUUGCGAACGGGUGAGUAACGCGUAGGUAACCUGCCUGGUAGCGGGGGAUAACUAUUGGAAACGAUAGCUAAUACCGCAUAAUAGUAGAUGUUGCAUGACAUUUGCUUAAAAGGUGCAAUUGCAUCACUACCAGAUGGACCUGCGUUGUAUUAGCUAGUUGGUGGGGUAACGGCUCACCAAGGCGACGAUACAUAGCCGACCUGAGAGGGUGAUCGGCCACACUGGGACUGAGACACGGCCCAGACUCCUACGGGAGGCAGCAGUAGGGAAUCUUCGGCAAUGGACGGAAGUCUGACCGAGCAACGCCGCGUGAGUGAAGAAGGUUUUCGGAUCGUAAAGCUCUGUUGUAAGAGAAGAACGGGUGUGAGAGUGGAAAGUUCACACUGUGACGGUAUCUUACCAGAAAGGGACGGCUAACUACGUG
rnacentral:rRNA from 1 species